ensembl:lncRNA
CCAGGUUACCUCCUUACAACAGGCAGGUUCUGUCCACUCCCCAGGUUACCUCCUUACAACAGGCAGGUUCUGUCCACUCCCCAGGUUACCUCCUUACAACAGGCAGGUUCUGUCCACUCCCCAGGUUUACCUCCUUACAACAGGCAGGUUCUGUCCACUCCCCAGGUUACCUCUUUACAACAGGCAGGUUCUAUCCACUCCCCAGGUUACCUCCUUACAACAGGCAGGUUCUGUCCACUCCCCAGGUUACCUCCUUACAACAGGCAGGUUCUGUCCCCUCCCCAGGUUACCUCCUUACAACAGGCAGGUUCUGUCCACUCCCCAGGUUACCUCCUUACAACAGCCAGGUUCUGUCCACUCCCCCAGGUUACCUCCUUACAACAGGCAGGUUCUGUCCACUCCCCAGGUUACCUCCUUACAACAGGCAGGUUCUGUCCACUCCCCAGGUUACCUCCUUACAACAGGCAGGUUCUGUCCACUCCCCAGGUUACCUCCUUACAACAGGCAGGUUCUGUCCACUCCCCAGGUUACCUCCUUACAACAGGCAGGUUCUAUCCACUCCCCAGGUUACCUCCUUACAACAGGCAGGUUCUGUCCACUCCCCAGGUUACCUCCUUACAACAGGCAGGUUCUGUCCACUCCCCAGGUUACCUCCUUACAACAGGCAGGUUCUGUCCACUCCCCAGGUUACCUCCUUACAACAGGCAGGUUCUGUCCACUCCCCAGGUUACCUCUUUACAACAGGCAGGUUCUGUCCACUCCCCAGGUUACCUCCUUACAACAGGCAGGUUCUGUCCACUCCCCAGGUUACCUCUUUACAACAGGCAGGUUCUAUCCACUCCCCAGGUUACCUCCUUACAACAGGCAGGUUCUGUCCACUCCCCAGGUUACCUCCUUACAACAGGCAGGUUCUGUCCACUCCCCAGGUUACCUCUUUACAACAGGCAGGUUCUGUCCACUCCCCAGGUUACCUCCUUACAACAGGCAGGUUCUGUCCACUCCCCAGGUUACCUCCUUACAACAGGCAGGUUCUGUCCACUCCCCAGGUUACCUCCUUACAACAGCCAGGUUCUGUCCACUCCCCAGGUUACCUCCUUACAACAGGCAGGUUCUGUCCACUCCCCAGGUUACCUCCUUACAACAGGCAGGUUCUGUCCACUCCCCAGGUUACCUCCUUACAACAGGCAGGUUCUGUCCACUCCCCAGGUUACCUCCUUACAACAGGCAGGUUCUAUCCACUCCCCAGGUUACCUCCUUACAACAGGCAGGUUCUGUCCACUCCCCAGGUUACCUCCUUACAACAGGCAGGUUCUAUCCACUCCCCAGGUUACCUCCUUACAACAGGCAGGUUCUGUCCACUCCCCAGGUUACCUCCUUACAACAGGCAGGUUCUAUCCACUCCCCAGGUUACCUCCUUACAACAGGCAGGUUCUGUCCACUCCCCAGGUUACCUCCUUACAACAGGCAGGUUCUAUCCACUCCCCAGGUUACCUCCUUACAACAGGCAGGUUGGACCUUUUUGAAAGUUCAAAUAUUUUGGUCUUGUUUGCUACAAAUGUAAACUUAAGUCUUCAACUCUUCUCUCAAACAAAUAUGUUUGAACAUGGUCAACAAAAACAGACAUCCAAAUAA